GGUUGGAUUUUUGGAUGGAGAGGAGACCAGCUGAGGGGAUACAGGGGAUAGAGAUUGGUAGAUGAUGUUGAUUUUGUCAGCGAAAAAGUGGAGGAAUGAGUUGCAGAGAUCCGGAGUAGAGGUAG